CCCAGAGCUACCUCCUCAGUCCGUGACCUGAGGAUACCUCCAAAUGCAUGCCAUGGUGUUCCAUUCCUUGAAUCCCUACCUAUGUCUGGAGUCAGCAGAAUUGUUUGUUUUCACAAAAAUGCUGCAGUGUGCAUAACCUUUGGAACCCUUGGGCAAGAGGUUUUGGAGUAAAAUUUCUGGGCCAAAGAAUGUAUCCUCCAUGAUUACAAGCCACCAGUCCAAGGAGGACACAUGAAGCAAGCCUCAACUCAAUGCCAACCCUGGAGUCAAACCCAAUUGAUUUAGAGCCUGAAGUGGAAUCGACCUAUAAACCCACGAAUAAGAA